rnacentral:rRNA from 1 species
UACAGGGGGUGCAAACGUUGCUCGGAAUCAUUGGGCGUAAAGCGCACGUAGGCGGUUUGUUAUGUCGGAUGUGAAAGCCCUUGGCUCAACUGAGGAAGUGCAUCCGAAACUGGCAGCUAGAGUACUAAAGAGGGUCGCGGAAUUCCCGGUGUAGAGGUGAAAUUCGUAGAUAUCGGGAGGAACACCGGUGGCGAAGGCGGCGACCUGGGUAGAUACUGACGCUGAGGUACGAAAGCGAUGGGGAGCAAACAGG